rnacentral:rRNA from 1 species
AUUGAACGCUGGCGGCAGGCCUAACACAUGCAAGUCGAACGGCAGCACAGAAGAGCUUGCUCUUUGGGUGGCGAGUGGCGGACGGGUGAGUAAUGUCUGGGAAACUGCCCGAUGGAGGGGGAUAACUACUGGAAACGGUAGCUAAUACCGCAUAACGUCGCAAGACCAAAGUGAGGGACCUUCGGGCCUCACACCAUCGGAUGUGCCCAGAUGGGAUUAGCUAGUAGGUGGGGGAAUGGCUCACCUAGGCGACGAUCCCUAGCUGGUCUGGGAGGAUGACCAGCCACACUGGAACUGAGACACGGUCCAUACUCCUACGGGAGGCAGCAGUGGGGAAUAUUGCACAAUGGGCGCAAGCCUGAUGCAGCCAUGCCGCGUGUAUGAAGAAGGCCUUCGGGUUGUAAAGUACUUUCAGCGGGGAGGAAGGCGGUGAGGUUAAUAACCUUGCCGAUUGACGUUACCCGCAGAAGAAGCACCGGCUAACUCCGUGCCAGCCGCCGCGGUAA